UUUAGGUAUGUGAGUACACUGUAGCUGUCUUCAGACACACCAGAAGAGGGCAUCGGAUCUCAUUACCGAUGAUUGUGAGCCGCCAUGUGAUUGCUGGGAAUUGAACUCAGGACCUCUGGAAGAGCAGCCAGGGCUCUUAACCACUGAACCAUCAUCUCUCCAGCCCACAUAAAGCCUUUCUUACUCUGAAGUGAAAUACAAGUGUCUGAGGCACGGGACACAGAUUUUAGGUUUUCCCAGAUAACAUGUCUGAUGGAACAAAAAAGUCAUAAAAUGACACACUUUUCAAAUCAAUUGGCAGGUAAAACAUGGAUGGAGGUGGGUUACAGGGACGUGUGGCCAAUUCUGUGGUAAGCCUUAGAUGUUGUCACACAGCAUCCUUAGCCCUUACAUUGGUGGAAACUAAGGGCCCACAUUCCAAAGGAUUUACCUUUGGAAUUUACCUUUGUUAGGUCACACACAGAGAAGGACAAGAGUGGCCAUUACAUAGGCUAAAGAUAUCCCAACACAGUUGGGGGUCUAGACUUGCAACAUUUCAACCUCCUCUCAUCACUGAAGUUCUCAUCUGUCCCCCAGCCUUUCUCUAGGAAUUCUUUCUUGUUCCCAUCUCUCAGAGACUCCAUACCAGAACAUACGGGAGGGAGGAGCAGGAAGUCCCUGAUUCGAAGGAUGCUCUGAGCCCAGCCUCCUUCUCCAUCCCUUCCUCCACCCGCUCCCUCAACUUCAGGACCUAUGACUGGAGACAGAGACCGUGCUCCAGACUUUGCAAUCAGAGAUGUUUUCACCCAAAGGUAAUGGACAUGCAGGACUUAGAAAGUCAAAGCUGGUCUCGGCUGGGGAGGUAAUCACACAGUCAAACUGGUUCAGCCAGACAGCCUGCCAAUUCUGGGUUUCUGCUCCGGGCUUCUAAAGGUGACCAAGCAAGUCCUCGGAUAAGAAUGCAAGUGAGCAAAAUAACAAAUUCUUCUGAUACGACCUUUUCUUUCUCUGAAACACGAUCUCACUGCCUAGCUCUUGCUAGCGUGAAACUCACUCUGUAGACCAGGCUAGCCUCUAACUCACGGAGAUCCGCCUGCUUCUUCCUCCCAAGCGAUGGGCUUUUGUUAGGAUAUAAUACCUUAGUCCUCAAAGUCUCCAGGAAGACAGACAGCAGAGGCCUGGACCUAGCUGUCCCUGGAGAAGCUGCAGGACAGGUGCAGCUAUAAUGGCCUGUGCAAGAAGGAAGCUUCCUGGAGCACACAUGCGGCCAGAAGCAUCAGAAGGGCCCACUGUGGUCCGGGCCAGCUCCUGUUACAAGUCAGAUGUUGGAGGGAUUUGAGAGAGUCACUUCAUUCCUUCUGACUCUCGUUGGUUCUAUCACACAAGCGGCUUCCAAACCUACCUUUAAGGUUCAGGCACAAAAGCUUCAGGAAGUCAAGCGUCUGUUUUCAAGAUGGGUAUAAAGGACCGUACUAGCUUGCAGAGAAAUGGCUGCACUUUCAUAGACACAGAAGAAGGCUCCUACCCAACAGUCAGGGGUCAGAUCUCCAAAACGAGCCCUACAAUCAGCCUUCCAGAGUUGGCCUGGAGUGCUCACCCUUCGCUCGCCUCGUUAGAAGAAUCCCAUGCACACGCUGAAGCCAGCUGAGAAUCCCUGCUAAGCUUUCGGCUGGGAGAAGCAAAGUUGGAUCCCUGCCUAAAUCCCUGGGAGAGCCCACGCUCUGUUGCCAGCACCUUGACUGGAACAUCAAUAUUGGACAUCUGGCCUCGGACCUAGGAAAGAACCAAUCUACACGAGCCAGUAUUGUCGCCAGCGUGUGAACAAAGAGAGCCGACUCCUGGGUAGAGCAGCACACUCCAAGGCAUAGGCAUGGGACAGAGCCAGGUAUGGACCACAUCCAUGUCACCUUCUAAAAAUGCCUUACUGGCUCCAACGAACCGACACAUGGCUCGUUAGCCUUCAGGAAGAAUCUAGAAAUGCUGCCCCAGUAACAUUCAGCAAGCAGAGGGAGCUCUCGGCCUGUCCAUCGACAGUGACACUGUCACCAUGGCGGCCCUCUACCCUCCAUCCUCUUCAGCAUUGAAGCUGUUACGGCUUUAAUGUAAGACAUCUCAGGUCCACGCGAUGGGACAGUCUCCACCUUGUGGCACUGCUUUGGGAGGUUGUGAACCGUGACAUGAUGGGGUCUGGCCGGAGGAUGUGGGUCACUAAAUAAACAGGCUUUGAGGUUUAACUAGUGGCUCCAAGUCAACUCCUCUGCCCUUGAUUUGCUGAGGUGUGAGCAAGCUCUUCCUGCCACAGAGCUGCCUGCCACCGCGACGCCUCCACCAUGUCUCCUAAAACAAGAUAAGCCUCUUCUAAACUGCUUCAAAGCCCUUGACAACUGCACCAGGCAAAAGAGCUAUGUAAGGAAAAGCCGUAGCUGGCCUUCCCUAAGGCAUCUCUCAUUUCACUGUAACCCCAGAACUGCUGCUAGCAUCCCGAAGUGUGCAUUAUGUGCCUACCCCGGUGGUGCUCCUGACAAGCUGCUACUAGAAACCAGACAUGGAGGAUUAUGGGUAAUGGAGGUUCUCAAUGAACACAUCACUCACCAUUCAAGUCUGAAAUACACCUCCACCUCCACACUUCACUAUAAUACCAACCCAAUUAAUAACGAUCGGUGGGAAUUAUGAAACAUCUGUUGAACAUACUGGUGUGGAGACCAGGAUUCUACUCAGGAAAGGAUGCAGUGACAGCUACCAGAAGGGCACAGUACCCUGUGAAAUAAUCACCGAAGACUUGAAAUGAUACUCAACUUGUGAUGCCUGAUCACGAGGGACAUGCAAAUCAAGCCACAAUGUGAUAUCAUUCCAGUCACUCAGACGGCCAUCAUCAGAGCACAGGGGGCGGGGUGGGGGGGAUGCGUGACAAGGCUGUGGAGAAAUCGGAGCCCUUGUUGGGCAACCUUGGAAACAGCAUGUGGUGUAUCAGGAAAUUCAGUAUAGAAGCCACUGCAAUCCGUCAAUCCCUCAUCUGGGUUAAGACCUGAAGGACGUGAAUGGAUACUUGUGCGCCUGAUUGAUAGAAGCAUUGUUCACAGAAGUCAACAGAUAGAAGGAUGGCUGGGAGAUGCCUCCCUCACACGCUGGGCCACGACUGCUCUUGCAGAGGACAUGGUUUUGGUUCCCAGCACCCACACUGGCCAGCUAACAAACCCCUGUAAGUCUAGCUCCAGGAAAUCCAGUGUUCUCUGCCGGCUUCUGAAGGCACCUACAUUUGUGUGCACAUACUCUCACAUAUAUAAUAAAAACUAAUAAUAAUCA